GAUCGGAGACUGGAGCCGGUGUGUGCUGGGCGCUGGGAAGAGACAGCGCCGCCGGCCGUGGGGAUCUGACGCAGUGAUUUGCUCCCUUACCCUCAACAACCCCCACACCCAGCACCAGUCUAGGCCCCCAGACUCUCCUUCCAGCUGAACUCCCUGGGAACAAGUCAGUUGGGCUGAUCACUGAACUCUCAUUUCUGGAACUGAGGAUCCUGAUUCUCUCACAUCCUCAUCUGGCUGAGCCGCAGUAGUUCUUCAGUGGCAAGCUUUAUGUCCUGACCCAGCUAAAGCUGCCAGUUGAAGAACUGUUGCCCUCUGCCCCUGACUUCGAGGAAGAAGAGGAAGAGGAGCUGCUUUCUCUAUCAUCUGGAAGGUGACAGAAAUGGGGCUGCAAAGGUCUAAAUAGUGGGGGUGAUGAUACCUUUUGGAAAAGGGAACCCUGUUUAGUUGGAGAGCCCCAUUGGUCCAGCAAGAGAGCAGUUUUAGAUUAGAGACACUGGCUGAAUUGGAGAAUAGAAGGCUUGAACUACCCAAGGUUACUUGGUCUAUGUGUGACAAUGGGAAGAAGUGAAGAGAAAAACUCUUUAUGCAAAUUUCCUUCUUGAUCCACCUUCUUUAUCUCCCAUUCUUCCCUACUGGCCUUUCCAGGUAUCCUCCAAAAGUAAGUUUAGUCUUCAGAGAAAAAGUGAUACUGAAACUCUGAUCUGAGCAGUCAUCCCUCUGCUCUUACCUUUCCGUGUAUUUCCCUAGACCAGCCUAGACUCUAGAUUCAGGGGUACUUACCUAUAUCUGGGACCCUUAGACCUCCUGUCUUAGUUUCUCUACCUGUGAGAUAGGGAGCCAUACAGAUGAGUGUACAUGAGGGAAUCAGAAGCCCACCUGUGCAAACUCAGAGCCUGGGUUCUCCUCCACGUAUGGAUAAGAAUAAAAUACCUGGGCAGUGCCUUUGGCUCAAAGGAGUAGGGUACUAGCCCCAUAUGCUGGAGGUGGCAGGUUCAAGCCCAGCCCCAGCCAAAAACUGCAAAAUAAAAAAAUAAUAAAAUACCUUUCACAUGAGUUUUUGUCCAUUCCCCAUCCCUGACACCAUAACUUCAGGAGUUGGGGACCAGAGGGAGUUGGAGGGGUUAGACCAAAGUAAGGGACUAGAAAGAGAUGGGUCUAUAUACUGGCUUCCCAUCAUGCAAGGUCCAUGGAGUCCCCUGCCAUCCAAAGCAGGAUGGAAGCCCCAAUGGCAUUCUUGGGUUUUUUUUUGUUUGUAUUUUUUUUUUUCUCUCUUUUUUUAAGACAAUGUCUCAUGCUAUCACCCAGGCUAGAGUGCAGUGGCAUCAUCGUAGCUCACUGCAACCUCAAAUUCCUGGGCUCAAGCAAUCCUUUGCCUCAGCCCCCCAAGAGUAGCUGGAUUACAGGCCAGACUACCAUGCCUAAUUUUUCUUUUUUUUUGUAGAGAGGGGUCUUGUUCUUGCUCAAAUUGGUCUCAAACUAGUGACCUCCCAAAGUGCUAGGAUUAUAGGCGUGAGCCACUGCCCAGCCCCCUGAUGGUAUUCUACUUGGUGCUGCUCAGUUUCUUCCCUUACUUUGCUUUCCAAGAUGGUAUGUAAGACAGCUCAGUCCUGUAUACAGGCAGGAAAUUCUCCCUUCCACCAACCAGGACAGCUGAAUUAUGGGACGUGAUCCCCUUUGGGGCAUCAAGCAGUGUAAACCUGCCACCUCCCGCUCCUGAUCCAUUCUUAUUCUUGGGCUUAGGUGCUCUAAUGUGGUUCAGUCUUGGCCCAAUCUCCCUACCUGAAGGUGGCCAAGUUCAUGGGUUACAGGAAGCUAUUUAUUCUAUGUGGUGGGAAGAGAUGUGCAGGAGGUCUACCUUAUUCUCCAUUUAUGAGAAACUGAAAGAUGUAGAGGAAAGGAGAUAAUUAGCCCCACUCCUCUUUAGCUUAAGCUGAGGGACAGGAUGUAUGUGGGACAGCAAUAGAGGAGGUAGACUGAGUCCACACAUUGCUGUGUUCUUGGACAUUGCCUCUGUCAUUUCUUCCCCUCUUUGCUUCACUGGCCAGCAUGUCCCUCCAGCCCUAGGAAUAUGGCUCUGCCAUCUUCACCCAUCAUGGUGAAGAAGGGCAGCCUGGGAACACAGAGACCAGUGAAGGACCAGACCUGGAGAGCACAGGGCCCUAUCUGGACAUUCUUCAAGGGGGCCCAUAAAGCCCAGGAGCCCAAGAGGAGAGAAAACAGCCAGCCUCUGACAAUGACAAGCUUCCAUCCAUCUCCUACUUCACUUACCGGUUCUCUCCAGUCUUUUUGCGCCCCUCAGAGAUGGGGAACCAUAGGAAAGCAUCCUGUGACUUCACCCUCCUACUUUUUUCUCAGCCUGUAAUUUUUACAUAACAGCCUCUAGGAGCAAAAGCCAGCUGUGAAAGAACAUACAGGAAGUUCACAACAAACUCAAAUGGAUAAAACCAUGAAAGAAAUAUAUAUUUCAUUAGUAAUUUAAGAAAUAUAGCUGAGGGGCGGUGCCUGUGGCUCAGUGAGUAGGGCGCCGGCCCCAUAUACCGAGGGUGGUGGGUUCGGACCCAGCCCCGGCCAAACCGCAGCAGAAAAAUAGCCGGGCGUUGUGGCGGGCGCCUGUAGUCCCAGCUGCUCGGGAGGCUGAGGCAAGAGAAUCGCGUAAGCCCAAGAGUUAAGAGGUUGCUGUGAGCCGUGUGACGCCACGGCACUCCACCUGAGGGCUGUACAGUGAGACUCUGUCUCUACAAAAAAAAAAAAAAAAAUAUAUAUAUAUAUAUAUAUAUAUAGCUGAGAGCAUUUUUCCUUUAGCAAACUAUAACAGAAAAAGGACCUAGCACUGGCGAAAGAGUGCUGAAAUAACACGCUACAUUGGGAAUAUAAAUUGGUAUAUCCUUUCAGAUGGUAGUUUGGUUAUAUGUAUCAUAUGCCCUAAAAGUUUCCAUGUCCUCUGACCUAGUCAUUCUAUGUCUGGGAAUUUAUCCUAAGAAAAUAAUUAAGGAUUUAGUUAUAAGAUGUUCAUCCAGCAUUGGCAAUAGACAAAAAUGAGAAGCAACUGUUUGAUUGGGAAUCCAUUCCUUUUCUGCUGUAAUGAAAAUUUGCAAUAGGGAUUGCUUAAGUAAAUUAUUGUAUAUCCAUCCAGAUGGUAGAGUACUGCACAGCUAUUAAAAGUCAUGGAGAAGAACAUUUGACUAGAAAGAAAAAUGCUCUUUGAACAUUAAAAAGGUUAUAAAA